AGGUGCCGUCACCGGCCCACACCCUGAAGGACUACGCGUCGUGAACUUUUGACUGACUGCGUAAUCGUAAUAAAAUAGAAGAUUGUUUUAAAAGAGUAAGAGAGGUAACGUAAAUACGGUAAAUGUCUCGUUCCGAUUCUCUAACAACGUUAGUUUGUUUACUUUGCACAUCUAGCCUCUCUCCGCACACACGUGGCCCGCUGGUGACAGACACGUCUGGACAGUCAAGUCGUGCGUGGAAACGACAAAUUCUUUACUGGAUAGUUAAAGGAUAAAUUAAAUUAGGUUGAAGACCGUCCAUGAGUUGCAUCUGCGCUUGACAUAUCAGCUACGCAGCCGUCAGCUGUCACCCAAUGUAUGCUGAGUCGGCGUCACAGCACACAGCAUGAGAAAUGGCCCCUUUUUCUCGUGAUCAUAGGAAGGAAUGAAUCUGGUAUUGAGAUUUGCCCCAAGUCACCAGCAGAAACAAGCCAGCUA